UGCGAAUGUCCGAAUGAACCGUUCUGUCAAACUAUCGGACCUUUCGGACGUCGAGUUGAAACAGACUUUGAGCCGGGACAGGCAGCCUGCACUCACUGAACGAGAUCGAAUUAACUGUUCUAGUGCAGACAUUUUUUUCCAAGACACUGUUGAAACCGGGUUUGAAUGGCAGUUAGUUUUGAUAGUUUCGCCGUCACUUGUCACCUAGUCAAUAUUAAAAUUCUGAGUUUUAGGUCAGAAUGGUCUCACAGUAUGCUUGUUAUCCCGGCUAGCUAGCUAGCUAGCUAGCUAACUACUGAAUUGUAUUCAAAACAGCAGUUACUACAAACGGAAUCGUUCACAAAGAUACGGAUGAAAAUGCUUGGCAACCAUAAAUAAAGCUAGCAACAACUGUCGAAAGCUGAAGAAAAGAGAAGCAAAUGGAUCGCUGCAAUUCGCAGAAGCAACUGGAAUCCAGGCACCGAAACGUGGAUUUGCGGUUGUCAUUUUGUCAGUGCCACGCCACGCCGGGAGAACAGAUCUGAGGCUGCAAAGCAACGCUGAACUAAGUCUCACCUUUCAGACCCUCGGUUUCAGAGUCCAGAACCACACAGUAGCAUUCAAGUCAUGGAGGUAUGUGACAGGGAAUGUAAACAGGUGGUGUGUAGUCCACCUGUGGUGUCAUCCCAAUGCACAGCUCAGUAUCAUGCACAGCCUGAGGUGCAAGAGGUCAACAGCAGUUUGCAGGUCACAGACCUUUCUGAAAAUGAUACCGUACAAGAAGCAUGUGCCCCACCACCCUCUGUGAUAUCUGUGCAGGCGUCCCAUAGUCAGGAUUAUAGUGACUAUGAGCCUGAGUCAAGGAAUUGUCAGUGUACAUGCAUGGCUCUGACAUUUCUAGCACCAGAAUGAGGGUCAUGACUUGAAGGAGGCUGAUCUUGAAAAGAGACUGGACAAGGGAGACAGUCUGUAUAAGAAAACUAUGAAACAGCUAAAAAGUGAAGAGGUUCCGCAACUACUACUUGACCUUGGAGGAAACACCACUCACUGUCGCAACUGAGCACCAUGAGUACAGAGUGCAAAGAUCUCCAGUGGAAAUGGGAUUCAUGAGAGAAGGGAGAUCCUGGCACAGAGGAUUGGUUUCAAAAUCUUUGCACAAGACUUCAAGUGUCUGUCUGCAGGUGUUACACAUGCACUGCUUACAGUAUCACCAUAUACCAUUGCCGUAUUCAUUAAAAUGACGCUUGUAUUUGUCAUUGCCUCAACACACGAGCUGUACUCGUCGUAAGUCAAAUUACACUGUGCCGUAAGUCAAUUACAGCUGUGACAGGUUGUCCAGCUUUGGAGUCGUUCAGCAGAUCCCAGAGUGGUUUGAGUUUAUUGAUGGCUGAUUGUGUUGUCAUUGUAUGUCGUUUGCCGUUUUUUCUUUGCUCUUUCCAUUGCUUUGUUUUUUGUUUUACUUGUACCUUCACCCUCGUCUGUCACUUUAUGGCGUCGGGUAAGUUAUCCGUGUUUCUUGCAUAGGUGGUUUGGGAAAUCCAAAUCUGCAUGCCCUUUUACCUUUCUUGCAGGACUUGGAAUGAGUUCUGCUGUGCAUUUGAACCUCUGUGAAGUAAUGGUUGUUUGUCUGCAUCAGGCAACUGGCAUGAGAUGUAGCGGUCCACAAACUUGCAUAUUCUGUGGUCGGGGUCCUCUCCGAAGACUGGAGCUCCUCCUAGCCGACACAGCAUAUGUAUAUGAGAGCUCCCUCUGGCCUGAAAUUCUACCCGGUUAAAGAAAUCAAUAACCUGAUCAAUUGGAUGAGCAGGAGACGGCAGCAGCUCUCUCAUCAGAACGUCAACUCGCUUGUCGCAUGGUGGUCACCGGGUUGCUUCUGAGAACAUUUUGUUCAUUUUGAACAUUUUUCUGAGUCACAUUUUUCAGCCCAGUCCAGCUCAUCAAAAUUGCUGGGAUUUGAUUGCUUCAUUUUGGUUUCAUCACAGCUGUCAAAUUCUAUGACAUUGUUUGUGUCUGGUUGAUUUUGCUGUACGUAGUCAUCAAUGGGAGGGUCUUGUAGCAGGUCUUCAAUGGUUUCAUUAUACCAACCACUCGCCCCCCUUCCUGAUUGGCCGAUGUUUGAUAUUUCAUAACUUUUGAACCAUUUGUCAUAGAGAACUAUGGGUCGCUUUAUUGGACUCAGUAAAGACCUAGCCACCGCCUAGAACUUCAUAGCAACCCCCUAGCAACCUCCUUGCAACUGCCUACCACUCCAUAGCAACAACCUAGCAGCACCCUAGCAACCACGUAGAACUCCAGAGCAACCAUCUAGCAACACCCUAACAACCGCCUAGAACUCCAUAGCAACCACCUAGCAACACCCUUGCAACCACCAGGAACACCAUAGCAAAUGCAUAGCAACACCCUAGCAACUGGCUAAAACUCCAUAGCAACCACCUGGAACACCAUAGCAACACACUAGCAACCACCUAAAAUUCCCUAGCAACCACCUAGCAACUACCUGGAAUACCAUAACUGCCUAGCAACACCCUAGCAACUGCCUAUAACUCCAUAGCAACCACCUAGCAACAUCCUUGCAACCACGUAGAAUACACUAGCAACCACCUAUCAACACCCUAGCAACCACCUGGAACACCCUAGCAACCAUCUAGGACUCCAUAGCAACCACCUCGCAACACCCUAGUAAUCACCUGGAACACCCCUAGCAACCAUGUACUACACCAUAGCAACCACCUGGAGAAACCUAGCAACCAAAUAGCAACACCCUAGCAACAAUCUGGAACACCCUUGCAACCAUCUAGAACUCCAUAUCAACCAACUAGCAACAUCUUAGCAACCAUCUAGGACUCCAUAGCAACCACCUAGCAACAACCUGGCAACCAUCCAGGACUCCAUAGCUACUACCUAAGAACACCCUAGCAACCAUUAAGCAACACCCUAGCAACCAUCUAGGACUCCAUAGCAACCACCUAGGAACACCCUAGCAACCAUUUAGCAACACCCUAGCAACCAUCUAGUACUCAAUAGGAACAACCUGAAACACCUUAUCAACCACCUAGCAACACGUCUAGCAACCAUCUAGUAGUCCCUAGCAACACCCUAGCAACCAUUUAGUACUUCAUAGCAACCACCUAGCAACACCUUAGCAACCAUCCAGUACUCUAUAGCAACCACCUAGCAACACCCUAGCAACCAUCUAGUACUUCAUAGCAACACCCUAGCAACAACUUGAAACACCCUAGAAACCAUCUAGUACUUCAUAGCAACACCCUAGCAACCAUCUAAUACUCCAUAGAAACCACCUAGCUUUGCUAGGGAGUUGAUUGGCGGUUGAUAUGCAGUGUUCCAGGGGUGUUCUAGGUUGUUGUUAGGGAGUACUAAGUAGUUGCUACGUAGUUGAUUGGGGGUUGCUUUGGAGUGUUCCAGGGGUGUUCCAAGUGGUUGCUAGGGAGUUGAUUGGUGGUUGCUAUGGAGUGUUACAGGGGUGUUUCAGGUGGUUGGUAGGGUGUUGCUAGGUGGUUGCUAUGGAGAGUUCCAGGUGGUUGCUAGGGAGUACUUGAUGGUUUCUAGGGAGUUGAUUGGUGGUUGUUAGGGGGUGUUACAGGUGGUUGCUAGGACGUACUAGGUGGUUGUUUGGGAGUUGAUUGGUGGUUGUUAGGGGGUGUUCCAGGUGGUUGCUAGGGAUUGGAUUGGUGGUUGCUAUGUGGUGUUUCAGGUGGUUGCUAGGGAGUUGACAGGUGGUUUCUCUGGGGUGGUCCAGGUUGUUGCUAAGGAGUACUAGGUGGUUGUUAGGGAGUUAAUUGGUCGUUGCUAUGGGGUGCUCCAGUUGGUUGCUAGGGAGUUGAUUGGUGGUUGCUAUGGGGUUUUCCAGGUGGUUGCUAGGGAGCACUAGGUGGCUGCUAGGGAGUUGAUUGGUGGUUGCUAUGGAGUGUUACAGGGGUGUUACAGGUAGUUGCUAGGGAGUACUAGGUGGUUGUUAGGGAGUUGAUUUGUGUUUGCUAUGAAGUGUUACAGUGCUGUUACAGGUGGUAGUUAGGGAGUUGAUUGGUGGUUGCUAGGGAGUUGAUUGGUGGUUGCUAUGGAGUGUUACAGGGGUGUUACAGGUAGUUGCUAGGGAGUACUAGGUGGUUGUUAGGGAGUUGAUUGGUGUUUGCUAUGGUGUGUUACAGGUGGUUGCUAGGGAGUUGAUUGGUGGUUGUUAUGGAGUGUUCCAGGGGUGUUCCAAGUGGUUGCUACGGAGUACUAAGUGAUUGCUAGGGAGUUGAUUAGUGGUUGCUAUGGACUGUUACAGGAGUGUUCCGGGUGGUUGCAAGGGAGUACUUGGUGGUUGCUAGGGAGUUGAUUGGUGGUUGCUAUGGAGUGUUACAGGGGUGUAACAGGUGGUUGCUAGGGAGUACUAUGUGGUUGCAUAGCGAGUUGAUUGGUGGUUGCUAUGGGGUGUUCCAGGUGGUUGCUAGGGAGUAGUAGGUGGUUGCUAGGGAGCGGAUUGGUGCUUGCUAUGGGGUGUUCCAGGUGGUUGCUAGGGAGUACUAGGUGGUUGCUAGGGAGUUGAUUUGUGGAUGCUAAGCUGUGAUCCAGGGGUGGUCCAGGUGGUUGCUAGGGACUUGAUUGGUGGUUGCUAUGGACUGUUACUGGGGUGUUACAGGUCUUUUUUAGGGAGUUGAUUGGUGGUUGCUAUGGAGUGUUACAGGGGUAUAACAGGUGGUUGCUAGGGAAUACUAUGUGGUUGCAUAGCGAGUUGAUUGGUGGUUGCUAUGGGGUGUUCCAGGUGGUUGCUAGGGAGUAGUAGGUGGUUGCUAGGGAGCGGAUUGGUGCUUGCUAUGGGGUGUUCCAGGUGGUUGCUAAGGAGUUGACUGGUGGUUGCUCUGGGGUGUUCCAGGUGGUUGCUAGGGAGUACUAGGUGGUUGUUAGGGAGUUAAUUGGUGGUUGCUAAGCAGUGUUAUAGGGGUGUGACAGGUGGUUGCUAGGGAGCACUAGGUGGUUGUUAGGGUGUUGAUUGGUGGUUGCUACGGGGUAUUACAGGAUCGUUACAGGUGGUUGCAAGGGAGUUUAUUAAUGGUUGUUAGGGAGUUGAUUGGUGGUUGCUACGGGGUGUUACAGGUGGUUGCUAGGGAGUAUUAGUUGGUUGUUAGGGAGUUGAUUGGUGGUUGCUAAGGGGUGUUACAGGUGGUUGUUAGGGAGUUGAUUGGUGGUUGUUAGGGAGUUGAUUGGUGGUUGCUAUGGGGUGUUACAGGUGGUUGUUAGGGAGUUGAUUGGUGGUUGUUAGGGAGUUGAUUGGUGGUUGCUAUGGGGGGAUUACUGGGGUGUUACAGGUGGUUGCUAGGGAGUACUAUGUGGUUGCUUAGCGAGUUAAUUGGUGGUUGCUAAAGAGUGUUACAGGCGUGUUACAGCUGGUUGUUAGGGAGUUGAUUGGUGGUUGCUAUGGAGUGUUUACAGGGGUGUUACAGGUGGUUGCUAGUGAGUACUAGGUGGUUGUUAGGGAGUUGAUUGGUGGUUGUUAGGUUGGUGAUUGGUGGUUGCUAUGUGGUAUUACAGGGUUGUUACAGCUGGUUGCUAGUGAGUACUAGGUGGUUGCUUAGCGAGUUGAUUGGUGGUUGCUAAGGAGUGUUACAGGGGUGUUACAGGUGGUUGCUAGGGAGUGGAUUGGUGCUUGCUAUGGGGUGUUCCAGGUGGUUGCUAAGGAGUUGCCUGGUGGUUGCUCUGGGGUGUUCCCGGUGGUUGCUAGGGAGUUGAUUGGUGGAUGCUAAGGUGUGAUCCAGGGGUGGUCCAGGUGGUUGCUAGGGAGUUGAUUGGUGGUUGUUAUGGACUGUUACUGGGGUGUUACAUGUCUUUUUUAGGGAGUUGAUUGGUGGGUGUUAGGGAGUUGAUUAGUGGUUGCUACGUGGGGAUUACAGGGGUGUUACAGGUGGUUGCUAGGGAGUACUAGGUG